UACAGAGGUCUCAAGCGUUGUUCGGAUUCAUUGGGCGUAAAGGGUGCGUAGGUGGCGAGGUUAGUCAGGUGUGAAAUCUCGGGGCUCAACCCCGAAACUGCACUUGAUACUGCCUUGCUAGAGUACUGGAGAGGAGAUUGGAAUUUACGGUGUAGCAGUGAAAUGCGUAGAUAUCGUAAGGAAGACCAGUGGCGAAGGCGGCUCGCUGGACCGGUUCUGACGCUGAGGCGCGAAAGCGUGGGGAGCAAACGGG
rnacentral:rRNA from 1 species